CAGCAGCCGCGGUAAUACGUAGGUGGCAAGCGUUGUCCGGAAUUAUUGGGCGUAAAGGGCGCGUAGGCGGACUGAUAAGUCAGGGGUGAAAUCCCAAGGCUCAACCUUGGAACUGCCUUUGAUACUGUUUGUCUUGAGUUCGAGAGAGGUAAGUGGAACUGCGAGUGUAGAGGUGGAAUUCGUAGAUAUUCGCAAGAACACCAGUGGCGAAGGCGGCUUACUGGCUCGAAACUGACGCUGAGGCGCGAAAGCGUGGGGAGCAAACAGGAUUAGAUACCCCUGUAGUCCCUGUCUCUUAUAA
rnacentral:rRNA from 1 species